GCCCGCAUGGAUCAGUGGUUAGAUCGCCUUCUAAAGUUAGGAAAUUUGAUAUUCGCAUAUUAUGCAGGAGACGGAGGUUCGAAUCCUCCUGUGGGCA